CUAUGCUCCUUUGCUCAGGACUGGGAUGAGGGAGAUGACUAAUGUGUGACGCCAACAUGUCACGCCACACACCGGGAAAUACUAACGCAUAGGCUUCCAUUCCAGCAGUAUGGGCAACAAGAGAAAUAUCCUCAAUCUAAUAGAAGCACACAUCAAUCUGGGACCACAGAGAGUAUUCAUCAGGACUUCACAGGUCCACUGGGCCACAGCAGCCGGUCCAUGGACUCCAGAUCUAGAACCCAUGCUGGGUAGAAACCCCUUCAACUGCUCAGGCAAGUCAUUGGAUCUAUCUGAGCCUGACUGGAUUUUUCA
rnacentral:lncRNA from 1 species